rnacentral:rRNA from 1 species
UACGAAGGGGGCUAGCGUUGCUCGGAAUUACUGGGCGUAAAGCGCACGUAGGCGGUCUCUUAAGUCGGUGGUGAAAUCCUGGAGCUCAACUCCAGAACUGCCUUCGAUACUGGGGGACUCGAGUUCGGGAGAGGUGAGUGGAACUGCGAGUGUAGAGGUGAAAUUCGUAGAUAUUCGCAAGAACACCAGUGGCGAAGGCGGCUCACUGGCCCGAUACUGACGCUGAGGUGCGAAAGCGUGGGGAGCAAACAGG